UACGAAGGGGGCUAGCGUUGCUCGGAAUCACUGGGCGUAAAGGGUGCGUAGGCGGGUCUUUAAGUCCGGGGUGAAAUCCUGGAGCUCAACUCCAGAACUGCCUUUGAUACUGAAGAUCUUGAGUUCGGGAGAGGUGAGUGGAACUGCGAGUGUAGAGGUGAAAUUCGUAGAUAUUCGCAAGAACACCAGUGGCGAAGGCGGCUCACUGGCCCGAUACUGACGCUGAGGCACGAAAGCCAGGGGAGCGAACGGG
rnacentral:rRNA from 1 species